rnacentral:rRNA from 1 species
GAUGAACGCUGGCGGCGUGCCUAAUACAUGCAAGUCGAGCGAACGGACGAGGAGCUUGCUUCUCUGAUGUUAGCGGCGGACGGGUGAGUAACACGUGGAUAACCUACCUAUAAGACUGGGAUAACUUCGGGAAACCGGAGCUAAUACCGGUUAAUAUUUUGAACCGCAUGGUUCAAAAGUGAAAGACGGUCUUGCUGUCACUUAUAGAUGGAUCCGCGCUGCAUUAGCUAGUUGGUAAGGUAACGGCUUACCAAGGCAACGAUGCAUAGCCGACCUGAGAGGAUGAUCGGCCACACUGGAACUGAGACACGGUCCAGACUCCUACGGGAGGCAGCAGUAGGGAAUCUUCCGCAAUGGGCGAAAGCCUGACGGAGCAACGCCGCGUGAGUGAUGAAGGUCUUCGGAUCGUAAAACUCUGUUAUUAGGGAAGAACAUAUGUGUAAGUAACUGUGCACAUCUUGACGGUACCUAAUCAGAAAGCCACGGCUAACUACGUG